rnacentral:rRNA from 1 species
CCUACGGGUGGCGGCAGUGAGGAAUAUUGGUCAAUGGGCGAGAGCCUGAACCAGCCAAGUCGCGUGAGGGAAGACGGUCCGAUGGAUGGUAAACCUCUUUUGUCGGGGAGCAAAAAGGCCUCGUGAGGCCACAAGGGAGAGGACCCGAAGAAAAAGCAGCGGCUAACUCCGUGCCAGCAGCCGCGGUAAUACGGAGGAUGCGAGCGUAAGCCGGAUUUAUUGGGUUUAAAGGGUGAGUAGGCGGACGGGAAAGUCCGCGGGAAAAUCGAGAGGCUCAACCUCUUUCCGCCGUUGAAACUGUCGGUCUUGAGUGGGUGCGCAGUCUGCGGCAUGCGUGUUGUCGCGGUGAACUGCAUCGCUAUCACGCAGUACUCCGCUUGCGACGGCAGCCUACCGGCGCCCGACUGCCGCUGAGGCACGAACGCGUGGGUAUCGAACAGGAUUAGCUACCCGGGUAGUC